rnacentral:rRNA from 1 species
UACGUAGGUGGCAAGCGUUGUCCGGAUUUAUUGGGCGUAAAGCGAGCGCAGGCGGUUCCUUAAGUCUGAUGUGAAAGACCACGGCUCAACCGUGGAAGGUCAUUGGAAACUGGGGAACUUGAGUGCAGAAGAGGGGAGUGGAAUUCCAUGUGUAGCGGUGAAAUGCGUAGAUAUAUGGAGGAACACCAGUGGCGAAGGCGACUCUCUGGUCUGUAACUGACGCUGAGGCUCGAAAGCGUGGGGAGCAAACAGGAUUAGAUA